GCGGGCGUAGCUCAGCGGUAGAGCUCCUGCCUUCCAAGCAGGCUGUCGCGCGUUCAAAUCGCGUCGCCCGCU
rnacentral:tRNA from 1 species